rnacentral:rRNA from 1 species
UACGGAGGGGGCGAGCGUUAUUCGGAAUUAUUGGGCGUAAAGGGCGCGUAGGCGGCUUGACAAGUCAAAGGUGAAAUCCCUCGGCUCAACUGAGGAACUGCCUUUGAAACUGUCUGGCUUGAGGCCGGGAGGGGGUAGCGGAAUUCCCAGUGUAGCGGUGAAAUGCGUAGAGAUGUGGAGGAAUACCGAUGGCGAAGGCAGCCCCUGGGCCAGUACUGACGCUCAUGCACGAAAGCGUGGGGAGCAAACAGG